CGGGGUGUGGCUCAGCUUGGUAGAGCACUUGAUUUGGGAUCAAGGGGUCGCAGGUUCGAAUCCUGUCACCCCGA
rnacentral:tRNA from 1 species